rfam:Ophiostoma piceae TAMH 11346 chromosome Tnknown scf07, whole genome shotgun sequence.
UCCUCCCCCGACAUGACACAACGUCCUGCUGCGACGCUGUGCCCCGACCUGCAGUGUCUGUCGGCGGAGGA